rnacentral:rRNA from 1 species
GACGAACGCUGGCGGCGUGCUUAACACAUGCAAGUCGAACGGAAAGGCCCUGCUUUUGUGGGGUGCUCGAGUGGCGAACGGGUGAGUAACAAGUGAGUAACCUGCCCUUGACUUUGGGAUAACUUCAGGAAACUGGGGCUAAUACCGGCUAGGAGCUCCUGCUGCAUGGUGGGGGUUGGAAAGUUUCGGCGGUUGGGGAUGGACUCGCGGCUUAUCAGCUUGUUGGUGGGGUAGUGGCUUACCAAGGCUUUGACGGGUAGCCGGCCUGAGAGGGUGACCGGCCACAUUGGGGCUGAGAUACGACCCAGACUCCUACGGGAGGCAGCAGUGGGGAAUAUUGCACAAUGGGCGGAAGCCUGAUGCAGCAACGCCGCGUGCGGGAUGACGGCCUUCGGGUUGUAAACCGCUUUCGCCUGAGACGAAGCGUGAGUGACGGUAAUGGGUAAAGAAGCACCGGCUAACUACGUG